rnacentral:rRNA from 1 species
UGGGGAAUAUUGCACAAUGGAGGGAACUCUGAUGCAGCGACGCCGCGAGAACGAAGAAGGCUUUCGAGUCGUAAAGUUCUUUUAUAUGGGAAGAUAAUGACGGUACCAUAAGAAAAAGCCCCGGCUAACUACGUGCCAGCAGCCGCGGUAAUACGUAGGGGGCGAGCGUUGUCCGGAAUCACUGGGCGUAAAGGGUUCGCAGGCGGAAAUGCAAGUCAGGUGUAAAAGGCAGUAGCUUAACUACUGUAAGCAUUUGAAACUGCAUAUCUUGAGAAGAGUAGAGGUAAGUGGAAUUUUUAGUGUAGCGGUGAAAUGCGUAGAUAUUAAAAAGACUACCGGUGGCGAAGGCGACUUACUGGGCUCAUUCUGACGCUGAGGAACGAAAGCGUGGGUAGCAAACAGG